AUUGAACGCUGGCGGCAUGCUUUACACAUGCAAGUCGAACGGUAACAGGCCGCAAGGUGCUGACGAGUGGCGAACGGGUGAGUAAUGCAUCGGAACGUGCCCAGUCGUGGGGGAUAACUACUCGAAAGAGUAGCUAAUACCGCAUACGAUCUAUGGAUGAAAGCGGGUGACCGUAAGGCCUCGCGCGAUUGGAGCGGCCGAUGUCAGAUUAGGUAGUUGGUGGGGUAAAGGCUCACCAAGCCAACGAUCUGUAGCUGGUCUGAGAGGACGACCAGCCACACUGGGACUGAGACACGGCCCAGACUCCUACGGGAGGCAGCAGCGGGGAAUUUUGGACAAUGGGCGCAAGCCUGAUCCAGCAAUGCCGCGUGCAGGAAGAAGGCCUUCGGGUUGUAAACUGCUUUUGUACGGAACGAAACGGCUCUGGUUAAUACCCGGGGCUAAUGACGGUACCGUAAGAAUAAGCACCGGCUAACUACGUG
rnacentral:rRNA from 1 species